UACGUAGGGACCAAGCGUUGUUCGGAUUUACUGGGCGUAAAGGGCGCGUAGGCGGCAAUUCAAGUCAGCUGUGAAAUCUCCGAGCUUAACUCGGAACGGUCAGCUGAUACUGCUUUGCUAGAGUGCAGAAAGGGCAAUCGGAAUUCUUGGUGUAGCGGUGAAAUGCGUAGAUAUCAAGAGGAACACCUGAGGCGAAGGCGGGUUGCUAGGCUGACACUGACGCUGAGGCGCGAAAGCUAGGGUAGCAAACAGG
rnacentral:rRNA from 1 species